rnacentral:lncRNA from 1 species
CCGACUCAGUUUUUAUUUUCGUCCCAAUACUUUUCUUCCAAUGGACUAGUUGUGUUUCUUUGAUCUUGUGCAACCUCUUUAGGCCGAUGAUAGCCCGCGGAUAGGUGUGGAAACCCAUCUAUAUUGCACCCAGUACGACACAAAAAAAAAGCCCAGGCCUAGGGGUCGGGUGGGGCUCGUUCGGGUGCACAACGGUUGCGCCACAACGGUCCAAAAAUGGCCAAGGCUUUACCAUACGAAAAAUCGGCCGAUUUUUAACCAUGUGAGAAACGUCCCGAAAAUUCACAGAUAACUACUAGGAGCCUCACUCUGAGUAAUAUCAAAGUUUUUUCCCACAAGAACCGCUC